UGGGGCACAGCUCAGUGAUAGAGUGCUUGCCUACCAUGCAUGAGGGCCUGGGUUCAAUUUCCAGCACCUCAA
rnacentral:tRNA from 1 species